rnacentral:rRNA from 1 species
UUUGCCUACGGGACGCAGCAGUGGGGAAUAUUGCACAAUGGGGGAAACCCUGAUGCAGCGACGCCGCGUGAGUGAAGAAGUAUCUCGGUAUGUAAAGCUCUAUCAGCAGGGAAGAAAAUGACGGUACCUGACUAAGAAGCCCCGGCUAACUACGUGCCAGCGGCCGCGGUAAUACGUAGGGGGCACGCGUUAUCCGGAUUUACUGGGUGUAAAGGGAGCGUAGACGGCGCUGCAAGUCCG